rnacentral:rRNA from 1 species
ACCAGCGGCCGUAGCCGUGCAUGGCUACAGGUUCCCAUUCGAUCACCGAAGUCAAGAUGCACUGGGCGGCGACUGUAAGAAGAUGGGUAACCGCUCCACAUCCGUCUCUGGAAGCCGUGGUGCUGCUGGUU